rnacentral:tRNA from 1 species
GGCCCGUUCGUCUACCGGUUAGGACUCCUGGUUUUCAACCAGGCAAAAGGGGUUCGACUCCCCUACGGGCUGCCA